AAACAUAGCCUAUUUACCUAACUUUAGGUACAACCCUGCCCUCUGAAAUUUUUAACAGCCGCGGUAUCCUAACCGUGCUAAGGUAGCAUAAUCAUUUGCCUAUUAAUUAUAGGCUAGCAUGAACGGGAUCACUCACUUAAAUUUAUUUUCACUACAAUUAAAAUUAAACUUUAAGUUAAAAUACUAAAUUUUUAAGAAAGACAAAAAGACCCUGAAAACUAUUAGAAAAUAAUUAGUUGGGGCAACUAUAGACCAUUAACAGCGUCUAUUAAAAUUCGAAUUUUAAAAUUCAAAGCAUACAGUUACUUCAGGGAUAACAGACUAAUUGUAUUAUUUAGACCUAAUAAAUAAUAAAGAUUGGCACCUCGAUGUUGGCUUAUAAUUCCUUCGUAUAGUAACAUAUAUUGAUGGCAGCUUGUUCAUCUGAUAAAUAUUUACAUGAGCUGAGUUCAGACC
rnacentral:rRNA from 1 species